rnacentral:rRNA from 1 species
CCUACGGGAGGCAGCAGUGAGGAAUAUUGGUCAAUGGACGAGAGUCUGACCCAGCCAAGUAGCGUGAAGGAUGACUGCCCUAUGGGUUGUAAACUUCUUUUAUAAAGGAAUAAAACGAGGCACGUGUGCCUUUUUGCAUGUACUUUAUGAAUAAGGAUCGGCUAACUCCGUGCCAGCAGCCGCGGUAAUACGGAGGAUCCGAGCGUUAUCCGGAUUUAUUGGGUUUCAAGGGAGCGUAGAUGGGUUGUUAAGUCAGUUGUGAAAGUUUGCGGCUCAACCGUAAAAUUGCAAUUGAUACUGGCAGUCUUGAGUACAGUUGAGGUAGGCGGAAUUCGUGGUGUAGCGGUGAAAUGCUUAGAUAUCACGAAGAACCCCGAUUGCGAAGGCAGCUUACUAAACUGUGACUGACAUUGAUGCUCGAAAGUGUGGGUAUCAAACAGGAUUAGAUACCCUUGUAGUC